GGUUGAUAGGCCGGAUCUGGAAGCACGGUAACGUGUGGAGGUGACCGGUACUAAUAGGCCGAGGGCUUGUCCAU
rnacentral:rRNA from 1 species